GUUUGUGUAGCUUAUCCAAAGCAAAGCACUGAAAAUGCUUAGAUGGGCUUUAAUUUAGUCCCACAAGCA
rnacentral:tRNA from 1 species